GAUGAAGAACGUAGCGAAAUGCGAUAAGUAAUGUGAAUUGCAGAAUUCAGUGAAUCAUCGAAUCUUUGAACGCACCUUGCGCCCUUUGGCCAUUCCGAAGGGCAUGCCUGUUUGAGUAUCAUGAACACCUCAACUCUUCAUGGUUUUCCAUGAUGAGCUUGGACUUUGGGGGUCUUGCUGGCCUGUGGGUCGGCUCCUCUCAAAUGAAUCAGCUUGCCGGUUUUUGGUGGGCAUCACAGGUGUGAUAACUAUCUACGCUUUUGGUUUUCCACCAGGGUAACCUUCAGCAGUGGAGGUUCACUGGAGCUUACAAAUGUCUCUCCUCUGUGAGGACAGCCCUUUGAAUGUUUGAUCUCAAAUCAGGUAGGACUACCCGCUGAACUUAAGCAUAUCAAUAAGCGGAGGA
rnacentral:misc_RNA from 1 species